GGGUGUGUGGCUCUGUGGUAGAGCACUUGCCUAGCACACAUGGGGCCUUGGGUUCUAUGCCCAGCAUUGCCA
rnacentral:tRNA from 1 species